UAAGUAUGUGGGGAAUAAGGGUUUAUGUGUCCAUUUAAAAACUACAUGGCACCAGGAUUACUGUCAUUAAUAUCCGUAUUUAAGUAUUACCGAUGGUAUGCACUCCAUUACUGGUAUGUACCGAGAACUUGUACCGAUGGCGAUGGAUUUGAGACGUCAGUCAGUAUGUGGUCGAAAGAUGUGGGCGGAGUCUAAAUGAUUCACCGUCGUAGCAAGCCAUUCAUGAUCAGUAAUUACUGAAGGAAUUCCUUCAAACUUGGCAAAAAUGAUCGUGAAUGGGGUUGUUUGAGGCUUGUCACUACAACUGUCAGUUACAUUGAUGAGAAUCGAACUCUGCUUGAUUUUGGAGGCGGGGCUAACGCGCACUGAAGGGAACAUUGACGUGAUGGCUACCAGUCAGUUAAGUUAUCAGUGUGAACCGCAUGGCCAGAGUGUUAAGGCUGUUGGUGCAGAGAUUUGAGUGAGGUUUAAGUAAAGAUGCCGGAAGAUAGAGAAUUUUGGGGCGAAUUUUUUCAGUUAUACAAAGAACAGCCAUGCCUUUGGCAAAUUAAGUCAAAACAUUAUCUGAAUAAAUAUAAAAAAAACGAAGCGUAUGGAAAAUUAGCAGAAAAACUUAAAGAAAAGUAUCCUGAUGCAACCACAGACUUAGUGAAGAAAAAGAUCAACAUCUACAGGAGUAAUUUCAGGAAAGAAGCAAAAAAAGUCGAAGAUUCUAUGCGGUCUGGAAGUGGGGCAGAUGAUGUGUAUACGCCAACUUGGACUUACUAUGAAGAUUUAAAGUUUUUAAAGGAUCAAGAAGCUAUUAGAACAUUCACCUCGAAUUUACAAGCACAUGAGAUCCAAACAAUUUGGAAACUGCCGUUGUCAUUCCUAUCGUUACCGACUUACUCUCUGAAGCACAAACUCAAAAAUAAAUGUGACCCAGCAGUGGAAGACGUCAAGAAAGACGAUGAAUCUGUAGUUAAGCCUAAGAAAAAUCCAUUGAGUCUAGAAGAAUUGACACAUGCGCUGUUUGGCGUCCACGACGAGCCGUCCUCUUUGAGUCUUCAAUGACCCCUCAAUCAUCAUUCCGACUGACGGUGUGAACAGCGGAAUGAUGGAAUGUCAGUCACGAAGACCGCGAAUGACGGGUUUUAAAGUGUAAUAGAAUUAAUGAAAACAGUCGCUAACGCGCGUCAUUCUCGUGGGAGGAGCUUAUGGUAUGGAAUAGAUCGGCAAGAUUGUUGACGGUCAUCCAUUCAACGAAGAUCUAUACUCUCUACCUUGCGUUUAACAGUCUUGAACUGUCAUUCGCGGGCGUCAGUCAUCAGUCAGUAGUCACUGCUAACACCGUGUGGAGUGAGCGUAUAUAUAUAUAUAUAUAUAUAUAUAUAUAUAUAUAUAUAUAUAUAUAUAUAUAUAUAUAUAUAUAUAUAUAUAUACGUGUCGAAAUGUCGACGCUCUCGGAAAACAGCAGCAGCAAGGUGCUGCUGCAGCGCUUCAUCGACGCCUACAGAGAGACGCCCGAGCUCUAGGACGCCCAAAAUCAGAACUACGCCAGGAAGGACAAGAGAAACGCCGGCUACGAGAAGCUCCUGGGCGUCUUCAGGCUCGCGAAGAAGGACGCCUCGGUGAGCGACGUGAAGAGGAAACUGAACACGCUGAGGAGCAACUUUCGAAGGGAGCUGAAGAAGGUUCAGGAGUCGAAGAGGGGGAGGGGCGGCCCCGGCGCUGAAGACGUUUACGAACCGUCUUCCUGGGUCUUCUACGAGCUGCUGUUCCUGAAGGACUUGGAAAAGCCGACGAAGGAAAAAGGGACUCCUUUAGAAGUUGCUGCUGGUGCGCCGGAGGGAGAAGAAAAAGAAGAAGAAGAAGUAGGAGGAGGAGAUUGUCCUACAGGAGGAGCGACUAUCAGGCCCCUGGAGACGAUCCUGACGACCAGCCCGCAGCCGUCAAAGAAGCUACGCGUCCACAGAACAUCCGAAAAUGUGCCGGACCCCCCAUCCACGAGAAAACCUCCUCCGGAGAUCUCCGACAACAGCUACGAGGACUUCGGGAGGUACGUGGCCGCCAGACUAGAGGACAUCGAGAAGAAGUCCCCGGAGACGUGCUCCGUCGUCAGGAAGCUCAUCAACGACGCCAUAUUCGAAGGGGAAAUGGGGACACUGCGUGGCACUUCCAGGAUCGUGACCCCCAGCGAUGGCCACUUCAUAAUGCAGAUCCCAGCUCCGCUGCAGUGCCCCGUAGCGGCGGCCCCAGAGGUAGUCCAGUGUCCCGUGGCCGCCCCAGAGAAGGCCCAGCGGCCUGUCACUGCUCCAGAGAAGGUCCAGUGCUCUGUAACCACUCCAGAGAAGGUCUAACGGCCUGUAACCACUCCAGACUCCAGAGAAGGACCAGCGGCGUGUAACUGCUCCAGAGAGGUCUAGCGUGCUGUAACCGCUCCAGAGAAGGUCUAGGGUUCUGUAACUGCUUCAGAGAAGGUUCGGUGCUCUGCCGCUUCAGAGAAGGUUCGGUGCUCUGCCGCUUCAGAGAAGGUCUAGCGGCCUGUAACCAUCCCAGAGAAGAUCUAGCAGCCUGUCAAUGCUCCAGAGAAGCUACAGUGCUCUGUAACCACUCCAGAGAAGCUCCAGAGCUCUGUAAUCGCUCCAGAGUAGGUCCAGUGUUUUGUAUCUGCUUCAGAAAAGGUCCAGUGUUCUGUAGCUGCACCAGACAAAGUCCAGCGUCUUGCAACUGCUGCAAGGAAGGCUCAGAGUUCUGAAGUUAUCCUGGAGAAGGUCGUAUCCCUCACUUCAAGUUCUGAGGCUACUUAAAAGUGACACUCAGAUCUGUCAGCGAGUCCCCCUGAAAACCCCUCUCAGUGUCUUUCUAGAAUCAUGUAGUACAAAUAUAAUUGGAGAGUUCUGUAAUGAAUUCUCUCAACUUGGUGGUCAGUGGUCACGUUCCCACAAGGUAAUUGCUUGAAGCUUUGACCGUAUUUUCAUCGUCAAUUCUUAGAUUCACACAAUUAAUUUUUCAUGAUAUGUCUUAACCUGCUCAGUUAUAUUUAAACUAGAUUUAAAAGAAUGAACCUUCAGACCUUGAUUUUAUAAAUUAGACAUCUCAGAUUAAUUAGAUAAUGAUUUAUUUAAUCAAACUAUAAGAAACUAUAAAUGAUUUCACAGUCAUUCUAUGGGCAUGUUUAUUUUUUUAAACAAAUACAUGUAAAUAUAUUGUAGUAAAAAUUUUUUUACUUACCUUUAAAUACUAUUUGCCGUUGCUGAAUAACCACUGGUUCCAUGCAACGUAAAAACACACAAACAAACAAACACUAUUUGUCUCGGAAACCUAGGUUGAUGAUGAUAGCAUAGCAAGUCAGUAAACAGAGAGAUUAAGCUGUGGCCUUAUGCCACCACUUCAGGCACGGCCUCUUGCUGAGAAAAUGUCCGCCGGAAAGGCGCAAAAUGUGGGUUGGUGGGCGCCGCCGAUAUAAUUCCUCCGACCGGCGAUACGACGCCGUAACUUAUAGCCUCAUAAGUUCCCGAUAGCCGUUUCGGGAGAAUGUUUCCGCUCUCUCUCUCUCUCUCUCUCUC